rnacentral:rRNA from 1 species
AUUGAACGCUGGCGGCAUGCCUAACACAUGCAAGUCGAGCGGAAGAAGGUAGCUUGCUCCUGGCUUCAGCGGCGGACGGGUGAGUAAUGCCUAGGAAUCUGCCGGGUAGUGGGGGAUAACGUCCGGAAAUGGGCGCUAAUACCGCACACGCUAUGAGUGAGAAAGGGGGGGCUCUUCGGACCUCACGCUAUCAGAUGAGCCUAGGGCGGAUUAGCUAGUUGGUGGGGUAAAGGCCUACCAAGGCGACGAUCCGUAGCUGGUCUGAGAGGAUGAUCAGUCACACUGGAACUGAGACACGGUCCAGACUCCUACGGGAGGCAGCAGUGGGGAAUAUUGGACAAUGGGCGAAAGCCUGAUCCAGCAAUGCCGCGUGUGUGAAGAAGGUCUUCGGAUUGUAAAGCACUUUUAGUUGGGAGGAAAGGCAGUAAGUUAAUACCUUGCUGUUUUGACGGUACCAAAAGAAUAAGCACCGGCUAACUUCGUG